GAGCUCCUCUACAAAUGCAGCUCCUUCCCUUCUGUGAAUGCUGCUUUACACACCAGCCCCUGCAAUGGCUCUAGGGCAGAACUGGCUGGCACUCACCUGUCAGCACCAAACUCUUCCCCAUGACCCUGAUUCUUCUGCCCUUUCCAGGACUUACCCAGCAGCUGUAAAUGUGCUCACACAAUGUCCCUUUGUUUCCCCAGGAAGAAGCGAACAAGACAAGUCCUGAGGGUUACCCUGCUCCGUGGGGAAGUUCCUCUGGAGAGUGGCAGGGGGCGUUUCCUGCAGGGUGUCCCAGCAGGCUGGGAGCGCAGGGCAGGAGGAGCCAGAAGCUCCUGAAGGCAGCAGCCCCUCGUGUCUGUGGGAUCUGCAGGAGGAGCUGUGCCUGCACCGUGGCUCCUGGGCCAGGGGCUGCUCUGAGCAGGCACGUGGAAAUGCUCCAGCCCACACAGAGCACCAAGAGCCCAGGAGGAGCCCAAGGAGCAGCUGGCAUUACCUGGGAAUGGAGGCACGGCCCGUUAGCACAGGGGCUCACGCAGCAAUUCCCGGUUCAGAGCUCCCACACAGCUGCCAGCUAUGUCCCAGCCACCCCAAAUCCCUUCCCUCCUGCCCAGCCUGAGGCCACCAUCCAUCAGCAGCACUGAAGCCAAGGCAAUCUUUCCCCACAGACAUUAAAUCCCAGGCAGUAGCCCUCAGAGACACCUGGAAAUCAGUGGGAUGGAGUUUGGAGUUUUUCAGGAUCCAGCUGCAAGUGCACAAGUGGUGGAAAGCUUUCACAGGUAGGUCCCACUGGAGGUGUGCUGAAGACAGGGAUGUGCAUCCCUUUCCCGAGGGAAAAGAAUCUGUAGAGGCCACUGCUGAGGCUCUGAAAGGAGCUGAGCUUCUGCAGGGAGAGAUGUCCCCCCCUGGGCACAGGGGCUGCCCCAGCACAGGCUGGGAGCACAUCUGGCCACUGCCUUCUCCUGCUUUAAACACCAACUGGAUGUUCUCCAUCCUGGAGCUCAGGGGCUGAAAUCAGCUCAAUUCCAGGCAGCUCUGUCCAGUGCCCCCAGGGACACCAUUGGGGUGAGGGUUAUAAACAGCCAGUUCUAUGGAAUGUAACCCUGUCCUUGUCCCUGUGCUGCUGCUGAGCUUCCUUGGAAGCUCUGCUGGCUCCUGGCACAGCUGCUGUCCAAGGCAGCAGCUCUGCAUGGGAAUGCCCACACUCCAUGGGGCACUGGGAGGUUACUGCAGUGGGAAUGGAGCAGGGAAUUUGGGGCUCUGGGUAUAAUUCAUCAGAACUAGCACAGCUGACAGGGAACCCCAAAUCUGGGCACCACACAGAGAACAAUCUUUGUCCUGCCCUGUCAGCUCAAACCCCUGGGCUGGGAAGUUUUGGGAAUUAAAUGUAUGGAAUUAUACAAAUCACAGCAAUUGGCAUCACCCAGAGGGACAAUCCAGGUCCUAGACAAUUCCUCCACAAUCCACUAUGGGGGAAAACACCCUGUGCCUGCCAGGAGCUCUGACUGCUUUUCCUACCAGCUCCUGAGCAGUGUCAGGGCCACCAUGAGGGCUUUAAAACCCAAAUAAACCCCAUAUCCCACACAGUGAUAAUCCAAAUAAAGAAAUGCAUUCUUGUCAUCAAAGCUCAAAACUGUGUUAGGAGUUCUGACAACAAGUUAAUGGGAUUCCCAGCAAUCUCAUCAAUGCUCUUGGUUUCAUUUUUAUGUAGUUUUAAUCCCUCAGUGGGCAGCCUGUACAACUUAUUCUGGGAUUUAGAGGUUGAGCAGGGCUGGCUUUGGAUUGACCUUCACCUCUGGCCCCAGCCUGUGCAAACACACCUUGUGCCAGGGUGCCCUGGUGACACCAUGUUGGUCCCUUUGCCCUUCUCCAGCCCGAGGCUGCUCCUCUGCUCGCUCUCUCCAGCCUCAUCCCACAGGGAUCCUCUUGUCCCUUCCCUGCUGGUGCUGCCAAGGAAGGAGGACACAGUGAGUCCCAGGGCUGCCCCCUCAGCCCUGGAGAGUCCUGGCUGUGGGCCCUCGGAUUUCCCAGGGGAAUUGUCUGCUGGGCUCCCUUCAAUGACCUCAGCAAUUCCCUCACAAAUGCCACCUCACUCCCCCUGACAUCCCCUCACAUUGCAUUUUCCCACACAAACAGUUCUUGUAUCCCCUCUAGGUUACACCAGGUUUUCAACUACAUGAAUGGCAUCAUCUGUGCCCACUGCUCGUUACUCACCCAACCAAAAUCAAGAGCAAAUGUUGGUUGGGCUUUAAGAACUUGAAAUAACUUUAAAUCAAAAUAAAUCACCUUUUUCUUCUGGG